rnacentral:rRNA from 1 species
UACGUAGGGGGCAAGCGUUGUCCGGAAUCAUUGGGCGUAAAGCGCGCGUAGGUGGCCUCAUAAGUCCGCUGUGAAAGUCAAAGGCUCAACCUUUGAAAGCCGGUGGAUACUGUGAGGCUAGAGUACGGAAGAGGCGAGUGGAAUUCCUGGUGUAGCGGUGAAAUGCGCAGAUAUCAGGAGGAACACCGGUGGCGAAGGCGGGAUCCUGGGCCAGUACUGACGCUGAGGAGCGAAAGCGUGGGGAGCAAACAGG